CAAGUGCCUUAUGCAUAUUAGACGGACGGAAUAACACAACACAGCCAUGCGGUUUGCCGUCGUCCUGGUCGUUUUGCUCAUUGCAGCAACCAUCUUGUUGACAACAUGUGAAGCUGGCAGAGUAGCUAGAAGACGAACACUUGCUAGAAGAAGAUCAAUAUUUAGAAGACGCAACCGUUACGUUCCAGCUAUGUGUCGGUUGCCAAAAGUAAAGGGUACGUGUGAAGCCAAAUUGAAACGCUACUAUUAUAACAAAGUAACUAAGUUGUGUACUAGAUUUGUCUACAGUGGUUGUGGUGGAAACGAGAAUAACUUUCUGACCAUCCCUGAAUGUCAUAGGAAAUGUUGAUG